UGGGGAAUCUUGCACAAUGGGGGAAACCCUGAUGUAGCGACGCCGCGUGAGUGAUGAAGCCCUUCGGGGUGUAAAGCUCUUUCGGCAGGGACGAUAAUGACGGUACCUGAAGAAGAAGCUGCGGCUAACUACGUGCCAGCAGCCGCGGUAAUACGUAGGCAGCGAGCGUUGUUCGGAGUUACUGGGCGUAAAGAGUGCGUAGGCGGUUUUCUAAGUUUGGUGUGAAAUCUCCCGGCUCAACUGGGAGGGUGCGCCGAAGACUGGAAGGCUAGAGUAUGGGAGAGGUAAGCGGAAUUCCUGGUGUAGCGGUAAAAUGCGUAGAUAUUAGGAGGAACACCAGUGGCGAAGGCGGCUUACUGGACGGUAACUGACGUUGAGGCUCGAAAGCGUGGGGAGCAAACAGGAUUAGAUACCC
rnacentral:rRNA from 1 species